GGGGGUGUGGCGCAGUGGUAGCGCGCCCGCUUUGCAAGAUGAUUUCCUAUGUCCUCAUCAAAAAGACAUUGCGGAAGGUCAGGCGUUCAAUCCGCCUCUCCUCCA